AGCGGAAACGAUGAUAGCUUGCUAUCCAGGGCGUCGAGCGGCGGACGGGUGAGUAAUACUUAGGAAUCUACCUAGUAGUGGGGGAUAGCACGGGGAAACUCGUAUUAAUACCGCAUACGUCCUACGGGAGAAAGGGGGCAACUUGUUGCUCUCGCUAUUAGAUGAGCCUAAGUCGGAUUAGCUAGAUGGUGGGGUAAAGGCCUACCAUGGCGACGAUCUGUAGCUGGUCUGAGAGGAUGAUCAGCCACACCGGGACUGAGACACGGCCCGGACUCCUACGGGAGGCAGCAGUGGGGAAUAUUGGACAAUGGGGGAAACCCUGAUCCAGCCAUGCCGCGUGUGUGAAGAAGGCCUUUUGGUUGUAAAGCACUUUAAGCAGUGAAGAAGACUCCAUGGUUAAUACCCAUGGACGAUGACAUUAGCUGCAGAAUAAGCACCGGCUAACUCUGUGCCAGCAGCCGCGGUAAUACAGAGGGUGCAAGCGUUAAUCGGAAUUACUGGGCGUAAAGCGAGCGUAGGUGGCUUGAUAAGUCAGAUGUGAAAUCCCCGGGCUCAACCUGGGAACUGCAUCUGAAACUGUUAGGCUAGAGUAGGUGAGAGGGAGGUAGAAUUUCAGGUGUAGCGGUGAAAUGCGUAGAGAUCUGAAGGAAUACCGAUGGCGAAGGCAGCCUCCUGGCAUCAUACUGACACUGAGGCUCGAAAGCGUGGGUAGCAAACAGGAUUAGAUACCCUGGUAGUCCACGCCGUAAACGAUGUCUACUAGUCGUUGGGUCCCUUGAGGACUUAGUGACGCAGCUAACGCAAUAAGUAGACCGCCUGGGGAGUACGGCCGCAAGGUUAAAACUCAAAUGAAUUGACGGGGGCCCGCACAAGCGGUGGAGCAUGUGGUUUAAUUCGAUGCAACGCGAAGAACCUUACCUGGUCUUGACAUAUCUAGAAUCCUGCAGAGAUGCGGG
rnacentral:rRNA from 1 species